UACGGGGGGGGCAAGCGUUGUUCGGAAUUACUGGGCGUAAAGGGCUCGUAGGCGGCCAACUAAGACGGACGUGAAAUCCCUCGGCUUAACCGGGGAACUGCGUCCGAUACUGGAUGGCUUGAGUGUGGGAGAGGGAUGCGGAAUUCCAGGUGUAGCGGUGAAAUGCGUAGAUAUCUGGAGGAACACCGGUGGCGAAGGUGGCAUCCUGGACCACGACUGACGCUGAGGAGCGAAAGCCAGGGGAGCAAACGGG
rnacentral:rRNA from 1 species